rnacentral:ncRNA from 1 species
GGUUGGGAGAGCUAUAUUGUUGGUUCGUUGGAUGAUUUGAUCAUCCACCCGGCUG